AGAGCGGGAGAAGGAGCACCAGCAGCACAACUCCUGCAAGUUAAACAAAAAAAAGAAAAAACAGGCUCGUCCGCGGGACAGCGCCGAGGCUCGGCAUCCCGCCAGGCGCUCCCGUCCCCCGCCAGAUCCACCUCGCCGGCGGUCCCGCCGCGGUGAUGGGAGGAAGCCUGGCCGAGGCCGCCAAGUCUUGCACGCUCUAAGUCGCCUUGGCGCUGCGGCUGGAAGAUGCUCCGCGCGGCAGGACCGCGUUGCUGCUGACGAGCCCCCGCGGAGUGGAAGAUGCCUUGCUUUGGGAUUACGCGUGGAGAAAGGCCAUCAGUCAAGGGGAGAGCUGGCUGGUGAACCUCUCUGACUUUCCCCCCCUCCGGGGAAGUGGCUUCAAUGGCUCCAUCUCCCAGGAGAAGCAGUAGGAAAGAUGCCAACGCCUUGCCAAGCAUGUCCUCAACUUUCUGGGCUAUCAUGAUCCUGGCUAGUCUCCUAAUCGCUUACUGCACUGAAAUAACGCAACAGCCCCAGAUGAAUCUACCUCCUCAGCUACCUCCAAAUAUUGUCUCCUCUUUAACAAACAAUGCAGCUAAAACCAUCCAAGGAGAAAAACAGCAAGAUCAGCUCUUCCUACCCAGCUCCAGAACAGCUUCUUCACAUCUUUCUAAGCAACAAACAACGAG
rnacentral:lncRNA from 1 species